GAUGAACGCUGGCGGCGUGCCUAAUACAUGCAAGUCGAGCGAAUGGAUUAAGAGCUUGCUCUUAUGAAGUUAGCGGCGGACGGGUGAGUAACACGUGGGUAACCUGCCCAUAAGACUGGGAUAACUCCGGGAAACCGGGGCUAAUACCGGAUAACAUUUUGAACCGCAUGGUUCGAAAUUGAAAGGCGGCUUCGGCUGUCACUUAUGGAUGGACCCGCGUCGCAUUAGCUAGUUGGUGAGGUAACGGCUCACCAAGGCAACGAUGCGUAGCCGGCCUGAGAGGGUGAUGGGCCACACUGGGACUGAGACACGGCCCAGACUCCUACGGGAGGCAGCAGUAGGGAAUCUUCGGCAAUGGACGAAAGUCUGACGGGGCAACGCCGCGUGAGUGAUGAAGGCUUUCGGGUCGUAAAACUCUGUUGUUAGGGAAGAACAAGUGCUAGUUGAAUAAGCUGGCACCUUGACGGUACCUAACCAGAAAGCCACGGCUAACUACGUGCCAGCCGCCGCCGUAA
rnacentral:rRNA from 1 species